AUGUCUCCGGUGAAGGUGUUCGGGCACCCGAUGUUGACAAACGUCGCACGGGUGCUGCUCUUCCUGGAGGAGGUGGGCGCCGAGUACGAGCUCGUGCCCGUCGACUUCGUCGCCGGCGAGCACAAGAGGCCCCAACACGUCCAGCUAAACCCGUUUGCGAAGAUGCCUGGGUUCCAAGAUGGCGAAUCAUUACACAUCAGUACACACAUCAAGUCGCGCGCCAUCGCGAAGUACAUCCUCCGCAAGUACGGGGGGACAGCCGGCCUGGACCUCCUCGGAGAAAACAGCGGAAUCGAAGAAUUAGCAAUGGUGGACGUGUGGACGGAGGUGGAGGCCCAGCAGUACUACCCGGCCAUCUCGCCCGUGGUGUUCGAGUGCAUCAUCAUUCCCUUCAUCAUCCCUGGCGGUGGCGCGGCGCCGAACCAGACCGUCGUGGACGAGAGCCUGGAGCGGCUGAGGGGUGUGCUGGGGAUCUACGAGGCCCGGCUGGAGAAGAGCAGGUACUUGGCCGGGGACUCCAUCAGCUUCGCCGAUCUGAACCACAUCCCAUUCACCUUCUACUUCAUGACCACUCCGUACGCCAAGGUGUUUGAUGAGUACCCUAAGGUGAAGGCCUGGUGGGAGAUGCUCAUGGCGAGACCGGCGGUGCAGAGGGUCUGCAAGCAUAUGCCUACCGAGUUUAAGCUACGUGCGCGUACUAGAUGUUUAUGCACUCCGCGCGGGUGUGUGCCGUGCCGUGCUGGUGAUGAUCCCACUCAAGAGAAGAGACCUCCCUCCCGCGGGUGGGUGAUCAUCUGCCCGUCUACUUCCAGUAUACCCUUUCAGUUUCAGCAGCACGAGGAGUCCGCUUGCGCUUCUGCUCGUGCGAGCCCGGAUUCCUUGCUUUAA
rnacentral:rRNA from 1 species